ACUCCUACGGGAGGCAGCAGUGGGGAAUAUUGCACAAUGGGCGCAAGCCUGAUGCAGCCAUGCCGCGUGUAUGAAGAAGGCCUUCGGGUUGUAAAGUACUUUCAGCAGUGAGGAAGGUGAUAUGUUAUAGUCAUAUUAUUUGACGUUUAGCUGCAGAAGAAGACACCGGCUAACUCCGUGCCAGCAGCCGCGGUAAUACGGAGGGUGCGAGCGUUAAUCGGAAUUACUGGGCGUAAAGCGCAUGCAGGUGGUUUGUUAAGUCAGAUGUGAAAGCCCGGGGCUCAACCUCGGAAUUGCAUUUGAAACUGGCAAACUAGAGUACUGUAGAGGGGGGUAGAAUUUCAGGUGUAGCGGUGAAAUGCGUAGAGAUCUGAAGGAAUACCGGUGGCGAAGGCGGCCCCCUGGACAGAUACUGACACUCAGAUGCGAAAGCGUGGGGAGCAAACAGGAUUAGAUACCCUGGUAGGAUAGCGU
rnacentral:rRNA from 1 species